rnacentral:rRNA from 1 species
GACGAACGCUGGCGGCGUGCUUAACACAUGCAAGUCGAGCGGUAAGGCCCUUUCGGGGGUACACGAGCGGCGAACGGGUGAGUAACACGUGGGUGACCUGCCCUUAGCUCUGGGAUAAGCCUGGGAAACUGGGUCUAAUACCGGAUAUGACUCCAUAACGCAUGUUGUGGGGUGGAAAGCCUUGUGCGGCUAGGGAUGGGCCCGCGGCCUAUCAGCUUGUUGGUGGGGUGAUGGCCUACCAAGGCGACGACGGGUAGCCGGCCUGAGAGGGCGACCGGCCACACUGGGACUGAGACACGGCCCAGACUCCUACGGGAGGCAGCAGUGGGGAAUCUUGCGCAAUGGGCGAAAGCCUGACGCGGCGACGCCGCGUGGGGA